rnacentral:rRNA from 1 species
AGUGAACGCUGGCGGCAGGCCUAAUACAUGCAAGUCGAACGGCAGCACAGCAGAGCUUGCUCUGUGGGUGGCGAGUGGCGGACGGGUGAGGAAUACGUGGGAAUCUGCCCAGUCGUGGGGGAUAACGUAGGGAAACUUACGCUAAUACCGCAUGCGCCCUUCGGGGGAAAGCCGGGGGACCUUCGGGCCUGGCGCGAUUGGAUGAGCCCACGUCGGAUUAGCUAGUUGGCGGGGUAAAGGCCCACCAAGGCGACGAUCCGUAGCUGGUCUGAGAGGAUGAUCAGCCACACUGGAACUGAGACACGGUCCAGACUCCUACGGGAGGCAGCAGUAGGGAAUAUUGGACAAUGGGCGCAAGCCUGAUCCAGCCAUGCCGCGUGAGUGAAGAAGG